CCCUUAGAUGUUCUGGGCCGCACGCGCACUACACUGAUGCAUUCAACGAGCUUAUAACCUUGGCCGAGAGGCCUGGGCAAUCUUGUUAACGUGCAUCGUGAUAGGGAUAGAUUAUUGAAAUUAUUAAUCUUGAACGAGGAAUUCCUAGUAAACGCAGAUCAUCAAUCUGCAUUGAUUACGUCCCUGCCCUUUGUACACACCGCCCGUCGCACCUACCGAUUGGAUGGUCCGGUGAAGCCUCGGGAUUGUGGUUCUUGCCGCUUUAUUGUGGCGUGACCGCGAGAACUUGUCUAAACCUUAUCAUCUAGAGGAAGGUGAAGUCGUAACA
rnacentral:rRNA from 1 species